rnacentral:rRNA from 1 species
UACGGAGGGUGCGAGCGUUAAUCGGAAUUACUGGGCGUAAAGGGCGUGUAGGCGGGAUGUUAAGUCUGGCUUUGAAGACCGGAGCUCAACUCCGGGAGUGGGCUGGGUACUGGCAUUCUAGACCUCUGGAGAGAGAACUGGAAUUCCUGGUGUAGCGGUGGAAUGCGUAGAUACCAGGAGGAACACCAACGGCGAAGGCAGGUUCUUGGACAGAAGGUGACGCUGAGGCGCGAAAGUGUGGGGAGCGAACCGG